rnacentral:rRNA from 1 species
UGCCGACCAGCUAGCCCACCCACAACCACAAAAACAACCCUCAACAUUUAUAACCCCAAAGGCACCCCACCACAUAAAACUAAACCAUUUUUCCCCCCUAGUAUGGGCGACAGAAAAGGGACUACUGUGAGCAAUAGAGAAAGUACCGCAAGGAAACGCUGAAAGAGAAGUGAAACAACCCAGUAAAGCUUAAAAAAGCAGAGAUUAAAUCUCGUACCUUUUGCAUCAUGAUUUAGCUAGUAAUACCCAAGCAAAGAGUACUUCAGUUUGGGCCCCCGAAACUACGUGAGCUACUCCAAGACAGCCUAUUGUAGGGCAAACCCGUCUCUGUGGCAAAAGAGUGGGAAGAGCUUUGAGUAGAGGUGACAGACCUACCGAACCUAGUUAUAGCUGGUUACCUGGGAAUUGGAUAGAAGUUCAGCCUCAAGGCUUCUCUACUCGCACCCCCUUUCGCCAGAAUACUGUCCCACAGACACCUAAAGUAAGCCUAGAGAGUUAUUCAAAGGGGGUACAGCCCCUUUGAAACAAGACACAACUUUCCCAGGAGGGUAAAGAUCAUAAUAAUUUAAGGCACAUGCCCGGGUGGGCCUAAGAGCAGCCACCCCCAAAGAAAGCGUCAAAGCUCAAGCAUCCCUAUUCCCCCAUAUAUUCAGAUAAUUUAAUCCUAACCCCCUAAUACUACCAGGUCUUCUCAUGCAAACAUGAGAGUGAACAUGCUAAUAUGAGUAAUAAGAGAGGCCCCCCUCUCUCCUUGCACAAGUGUAAAUCGGAACGAACCCCCACCGAAACUUAACGACCCCAAAACAAAGAGGGGAAUGAACAAUAAAUAAACAACAAGAAAACCAUUCAUAAAACAACCGUUAACCCUACACUGGAGUGCCCCUAAGGAAAGACUAAAAGAGAAAGAAGGAACUCGGCAAACAUUUACAAGCCUCGCCUGUUUACCAAAAACAUCGCCUCUUGUUAACUAAAAAUAAGAGGUACCGCCUGCCCGGUGACUAUAUGUUUAACGGCCGCGGUAUCCUAACCGUGCGAAGGUAGCGCAAUCACUUGUCUCUUAAAUGGGGACCUGUAUGAAUGGCAUAACGAGGGCUUAACUGUCUCCUUUUUCCAGUCAAUGAAAUUGAUCUCCCCGUGCAGAAGCGGGGAUUUCACCAUAAGACGAGAAGACCCUAUGGAGCUUUAGACACCAAGGCAUAUCAUGUUAAGACCCCCUUAAAUAAAAGACCAAACCUAAUGAACCAUGCCCCUAUGUCUUAGGUUGGGGCGACCCCGGGGAAAUAAAAAACCCCCGAGUGGAACGGGAACACUACCUUCCUUCAACUAAGAGCUGCAGCUCUAAUUAACAGAACUUCUGACCAAUAAUGAUCCGGCAACGCCGAUUAACGAACCAAGUUACCCUAGGGAUAACAGCGCAAUCCCCUUCUAGAGUCCCUAUCGACAAGGGGGUUUACGACCUCGAUGUUGGAUCAGGACAUCCUAAUGGUGCAUCCGCUAUUAAGGGUUCGUUUGUUCAACGAUUAAUGUCCUACGUGAUCUGAGUUCAGACCGGAGUAAUCCAGGUCAGUUUCUAUCUAUGACAUGCCCUUUUCUAGUACGAAAGGACCGAAAAGAGGGGGCCAAUGCUGAAGGCACGCCCUACCCUCCCUAAUGAAGACAACUAAAAUAGGCAAGAGGACAUGCCCCCCCCCCGCCGAAGAUAACGGCAUACU